CCGCUGUGUUGACACGCUCUGCACCUUGCUCCUGCCCUCGCCUUUCACUCUUCUUAUCCCCCCGAUACCCCGAUCAUUCCUGACAGCUCCUGAGUGCCUGGAUUUCAUCAUCCAGCCCUGCAGGAUGCUCCCAUUUGUCCUGAGGAAGGCUGUCCCAGACGGAGAGGAGGAGAUGGAGGUGGAUACAAAGAUUGAUAUGGAUGAGGAGAUGGAAAUUGACGGAGAAGACUCUGGAGAGGAAGAGAUGGACGUGGAUGUGGAUGAGGAAGAGGAGAUGGAUGUUGAUAUGGAAGAGUCCAUUGAGGACAUGGACAUUGAUUGAAAAGGUCUUCACCUUCUCUUCCUGGCUCUGAUCUCGCCUCUGGCUCUGCCUCUUCUCCCGAAUGCACCACCUCUGGAGGCUCUGACCGUUCCAUCAUAGGGCACGCCUCUUCUAGGGAAGAUGGAACCAGAGACCCCGCUCUGGAAACCAUUCUUUUUUUUACUCCGCCAAAAUGGUGGCGCCCAUAACCCCCCGACUGGACCUCCAGACAACUUGCUACAGUUACCCAACAUACAACAUCAGGGCUUCUACUCCCUCUCCUGAGAGGGUCUCCCCCUUAGUUGCCUCCACCAGCACCAUACAGCCCCUCUAAAGCCAGGCUGAUCCAUCAGACAGUUUGGGACAUGUGUUCCAGUUUCGAGAGCCUCCUUUAAAUGCAGCCAUUGCCAUCCGGACUCCCCAAAGAAACUUCAUAUUCAAUGAAUUUGUGCCUGCGCCAGUGACCACCACCAUGGAUUGCAGUGGCAGGCAUGUCCAGCAUGCUGUGGCAAACUGCAUUCAACAAAGUUUGACACCUAGAGCUCCCAAGCGCCGCCAGCAGAGGAGAAAUCAUCACCAAGCCUGCUCCAGACAGCAAAUUAAUGUAACUGUACAAGUUUUCUAUAGAAAUCAUAACACUUCCCCUUUUAUUCCUCCUUCCUGGUAAAUAUAUUUUCAGUUGUAUUUAGAUAAUUUUAAGUUUAACCAAGUUCUAGAUCACCUUGAAGAUGUGUUUGUUUGAUUAACCUUUUACAGCUCCCCAGUCUUCAUUAAAAAGGAGUAACUUGAUUUAAUAGUAUUAAUUGAAGUGAUGUAAGCUAUUCAAUACCAGUAUUAUUAUUUUGUUGGUUAAAGUUGAUUUAGUUUUUACAGACUGUUAUUAUCUCUUUCAAUUUUAAUAUAUACAAAAAUGUAAAUAGUUCUCAACUAAAGUUACAAGAAUUUAAUAUGACAGAAACAAUCCUAACUCCCAUUAUUCAUGUUAAAUCUUUAAAUGCCUCUAUUUUAAUUAAUUGGAAAAAUUGAGUUUUUAGAAUGCACUCUUUAUACCCUGUCUAUUGUCCUUUCUGCAAGGAACCCCGCAGAAAGACAAUAUCAUAUUGUAAAAGUAUGUGUCUGUCAUAGGGUAAGAAGGAAGUGAGUUUUUUUGGGAAGCUGUGAUUAAAGCAAUCAGUGCUUAGAUUUGAAUAUUGGCACUUAGCUUGGCCACUGAAGGUAUGGAGUGCCUUUGAGAACACCAGGGGUGAAAAGAGCAGAGAACUCCUAAGAGAACUUUCUUGGUCCCAGUCCGUGAAGCAAGUCAGACCUUCCCUACCCAGCCAGGGCUGGGUGGGGGAGGCGAAGCCUUGCGGCUGGGUGAAGUAGGCCGGAGCUUCAGGCAAAGGAGGGGAGGUGAAGGCCUUGUAAGAUGAAAAAGUGGAACAGCCCUGAAAAGCAUUGAGCCACCCCCUACUCCGCAGGAGAGAGAGAAAGCCAGUGCCUGUGCUGCCUUAAAAUUCAAUAUCACAGCCUGACAGCACAGCUGGCCAGAAGGAGAAGUAAGGGAUGUGGCACAAAAAAAGUGCCCAGCAGCCGUGGGAGUUCUGAUUGUAAGACAAGGAGUGAUAGUAUAGAAUACUUGAAAGACUUAAAGGGAAGAGAAAGAGGAAAAAAAGGAAAAAGAAAAGAGAGACAGUGAGAGUGAGAAAAAAGGACUAGUUUACUUAGAUUAAUGGCAUUAAGUUGAGAACAAAGAAAUGAAAGAAAAGACUUUCCUUAAGUGUUACUUUGAUUAUUACGUUAAACUUAUUUUCUUACCUAUACCUUUCAAUCUUUACAUAUGUCAAAAUUAUUUUCUUGUAUGUACCCCUUUCAUGUUUAAUCUUUCCAUUAAGAUUCUUUAUUGUCUGAAGUUUAGCUAAAAUUAUCAGUUCUAUAAUUGUCAUUUACUUGUUAAUAGUGUUUCACUGUUCAUUCUUAUGUCCCCGGGAAUCCCUUUAUGAGUUGUCCUAAUGCCUCUAGAAGUUACUCCAUAAGUAUGAAGGAAUUUAAGUUGAAGAGUAUUCUGGGGCCAUAACUUAAAGAUUGUUCUCCUGUUUCUAAAAGAAAUAAAAAAGGGGGAGUUGUGUAGUGCCCCCGCCCCAGGUGGCAGGGAUUCUACCCAGACAGACAGCAUGGGUUGAGGGGUGUGAUUUAAAGAAGAUUCCACCCCUCCACCCUGUGGGGCAUGUCCCUGGAAGUCCGGAAAAAGGCAUUCCACUCCAUCUUGUCAAAGAAGGAAUGGCUCCAGAAUGUUCUUCCUUUCCUGUACCCCCAUUGGUUUCAAUUCUACUGCAAUGUCCUCACCUUAGUUUUUUCCAUUGGUUGUCCUCCUUGAUCCACCCAUUUGCGGUCCCCUGCUCCUUCUGCUAUUGGACCCUGACCCUAAAUGCCACCCCUAGCCUGUCAUAUAAAACCCAUGACUACCCCCUUGUUUCUUGUCUUGGUCGCUGGCACAAUAAAG